UAUUAUGAUGAACCUUCACUGAUAGGAAUUGCCGUCUGACCGAUAUUUGACGUCAACUUGAGUGUCUGACA